rnacentral:rRNA from 1 species
CCUACGGGCGGCAGCAGUGGGGAAUAUUGCACAAUGGGCGCAAGCCUGAUGCAGCCAUGCCGCGUGUGUGAAGAAGGCCUUCGGGUUGUAAAGCACUUUCAGCGGGGAGGAAGGCGUUAAGGUUAAUAACCUUGGCGAUUGACGUUACCCGCAGAAGAAGCACCGGCUAACUCCGUGCCAGCAGCCGCGGUAAUACGGAGGGUGCAAGCGUUAAUCGGAAUUACUGGGCGUAAAGCGCACGCAGGCGGUCUGUCAAGUCGGAUGUGAAAUCCCCGGGCUCAACCUGGGAACUGCAUUCGAAACUGGCAGGCUAGAGUCUUGUAGAGGGGGGUAGAAUUCCAGGUGUAGCGGUGAAAUGCGGAGAGGUCUGGAGGAAUACCGGUGGCGAAGGCGGCCCCCGGGACAAAGACUGACGGUCAGGUGCGAAAGCGUGGGGAGCAAACAGGAUUAGAUACCCGAGUAGUC